rnacentral:rRNA from 1 species
UACGAAGGGAGCGAGCGUUGUUCGGAAUCACUGGGCUUAAAGCGUGCGUAGGCGGAUGUGUAAGUAAGAAGUGAAAUCCCAGGGCUUAACCCUGGAACUGCUUUUUAGACUGCACAUCUGGAAUCCGGUAGAGGUUGGUGGAACUCCUAGUGUAGAGGUGAAAUUCGCAGAUAUUAGGAAGAACACCGGUGGCGAAGGCGACCAACUGGACCGAUAUUGACGCUGAGGCACGAAAGCGUGGGUAGCAAACAGG